ACACCCAGCUCCCCUGGCUCUAGCAGCACAGAAAUAUUGGCACUGGGCACAGAGUCUGCCAAUAUGGGCUGUGCUGCUCCAGGCAGGGUGGU
ensembl:miRNA